rnacentral:rRNA from 1 species
UGGCGGACGGGUGAGUAACGCGUGGGUAACCUGCCCCAUACAGGGGGAGUAACAGAUAGAAAUGUCUGCUAAUACCGCAUAAGACCACAGCACCGCAUGGUGCAGGGGUAAAAAACUCCGGUGGUAUGGGAUGGACCCGCGUCUGAUUAGCUGGUUGGUGAGGUAACGGCUCACCAAGGCAACGAUCAGUAGCCGACCUGAGAGGGUGACCGGCCACAUUGGGACUGAGACACGGCCCAAACUCCUACGGGAGGCAGCAG